AUGCAGCUGACGAGUUCCAAAUAGAACGAAAUGCGCAUCCUGGAU
rnacentral:hammerhead_ribozyme from 1 species